CCUGGAUCUCCUGGGGCUUGUCCGGGAUGACGAAGGCCAGGACGAACUUCAGCGCCAGCAGCGCGUGCUGGGAACAAGAAGAAAAGCGCACGUGGCUCCUUCUGCCUCCUCGCCCAAAGCGCAGCCCGAGUCCUCUCUCCCCCAGGAAGACCCCUCCCCUUUAUCCCCCCCCAUUUGGAAGCAGUCUCUUCUCUUUCCCCGCGCCCCCGAGGGCUGCGUGGCUGUUGGCAGCCGCCCCACUAACAGAUGCUUGGGAGUAGUUGGGGCUACACGGACUCCUCUCCCCGGGAGCAACGGCAUCCCCAGGAGCCUGUCUAGUCAACAGCUUAAGAGAAUGUCUAUAGUCUCAAAGGGGCCCAUCCAACGUCAUCAUCUGAAAUCAAGAAACCAAAUCAAUAAAAGACUAGAUGAAGCAAAGUCAAGGCUGCAAUAUUCUACGUUUUGUUCUCUGAGAGGAAAGCUUCUCAAUGGAUAACUAGUGCAAACGAUUAUCUUCUUCAUUAAAUUUGAUGACUUGUAACAUUUUUAAUUGGUCCAACAAGAAGUUUUCAUUAAGAGAAGUAGAUGUUAAGUAAUUUGGCUUUCUAGCACAUACGUGCUAAAAAGGAAAAAUGGAUCCCUGAAGACUAAGUUAAAGAAACUAAUAAAAACGAACAUUAUUUCAUUAAGAAGAUGGUGUUAUUGUUUACUAUCAAGAUACCAACUGUAAUUUGAAAUUACUUUUAAUAUCUUCUUGGACUUGGAUGGAAUUGUCUUAGCUGACAAAUAUAUUUGGGUCUUUCUUAUUUAUAGAAAUGUAUAUCUAUACUAAAGAUAAAUCCA